UACGUAGGGGGCAAGCGUUGUCCGGAAUCAUUGGGCGUAAAGCGCGUGUAGGCGGCUUGGUAAGUCCGCUCUGAAAGCCCACGGCUCAACCGUGGAGGGUCAUUGGAAACUGGGGGACUUGAGUGCAGAAGAGGAGAGUGGAAUUCCACGUGUAGCGGUGAAAUGCGUAGAGAUGUGGAGGAACACCAGUGGCGAAGGCGACUCUCUGGUCUGUAACUGACGCUGAGGCGCGAAAGCGUGGGUAGCGAACAGG
rnacentral:rRNA from 1 species